GACGAACGCUGGCGGCGUGCUUAACACAUGCAAGUCGAACGGAAAGACCCUGCUUUUGUGGGGUGCUCGAGUGGCGAACGGGUGAGUAACACGUGAGUAACCUGCCCUUGACUUUGGGAUAACUUCAGGAAACUGGGGCUAAUACCGGAUAGGAGCUCCUGCUGCAUGGUGGGGGUUGGAAAGUUUCGGCGGUUGGGGAUGGACUCGCGGCUUAUCAGCUUGUUAGUGGGGUAGUGGCUUACCAAGGCUUUGACGGGUAGCCGGCCUGAGAGGGUGACCGGCCACAUUGGGACUGAGAUACGGCCCAGACUCCUACGGGAGGCAGCAGUGGGGAAUAUUGCACAAUGGGCGGAAGCCUGAUGCAGCAACGCCGCGUGCGGGAUGACGGCCUUCGGGUUGUAAACCGCUUUCGCCUGUGACGAAGCGUGAGUGACGGUAAUGGGUAAAGAAGCACCGGCUAACUACGUG
rnacentral:rRNA from 1 species